rnacentral:rRNA from 1 species
AGCGAACGCUGGCGGCAGGCCUAACACAUGCAAGUCGAACGGAUCCUUCGGGAUUAGUGGCGGACGGGUGAGUAACACGUGGGAACGUGCCCUUUGGUUCGGAACAACUCAGGGAAACUUGAGCUAAUACCGGAUGUGCCCUUCGGGGGAAAGAUUUAUUGCCAUUGGAGCGGCCCGCGUCGGAUUAGCUAGUUGGUGGGGUAAAGGCCCACCAAGGCGACGAUCCGUAGCUGGUCUGAGAGGAUGAUCAGCCACAUUGGGACUGAGACACGGCCCAAACUCCUACGGGAGGCAGCAGGGGGGAAUCUUGCGCAAUGGGCGAAAGCCUGACGCAGCCAUGCCGCGUGAAUGAUGAAGGUCUUAGGAUUGUAAAAUUCUUUCACCGGGGACGAUAAUGACGGUACCCGGAGAAGAAGCCCCGGCUAACUUCGUGCCAGCCGCCGCCGUAAAAC